UACGUAGGUGGCGAGCGUUGUCCGGAAUUAUUGGGCGUAAAGAGCAUGUGGGCGGCUUAAUAAGUCGAGCGUGAAAAUGCGGGGCUCAACCCCGUAUGGCGCUGGAAACUGUUAGGCUUGAGUGCAGGAGAGGAAAGGGGAAUUCCCAGUGUAGCGGUGAAAUGCGUAGAUAUUGGGAGGAACACCAGUGGCGAAGGCGCCUUUCUGGACUGUGUCUGACGCUGAGAUGCGAAAGCCAGGGUAGCGAACGGG
rnacentral:rRNA from 1 species